GUAAAUUAAUGAGGGAAAGAAGCAGGAGCAACACAGGAAGGGUGGUUAUUUCGCAAUCUGCAUACACGCCCUGGUGGAAAGGAACUUUCAGUUUCAGUAGCUGCACAUGCUAGGAGAGAAACGCCAUGGCUGACAACAUCCUCAGAGCAAAGAGGAAGCAGUUCAUCAAUUCAGUGGGUGAAGGGACAAUAAAUGGCUUGCUGGAUGAACUUUUGGAGAAGAAAGUUCUGAACCAGGAAGAGAUGGAGAGAAUAAAACUCGUAAAUGACACUGUUAUGGACAAAGCACGGGACCUGUGUGAUUCUGUCAUCAGGAAAGGUCCCCAGGCAAGCCAAAUUCUACUCACUUACAUUUGUAAUGAAGACGUCUACCUGGCAGGAGUUCUCCAACUCUCCUAGACCUAUAUUCCCAUGGAUUCCAUGUGCCUGGAUCCCAUGACUCUUGUCUGUACUGUACUUUGCUUCCAUCCUGCCAACUGUAAGACAGCAUCUCUGCAUUGGUGUCUCCUACAUAUAAUUUUCUCUGAGAAGUUAUCUUCAAUCAUGCUAAGAAUUUUAAAUGGCUUCAACUUCUAAUGAAGAUGUGAUCUGAUGUACUACAGUCAUUUCAAAGAGCUGCUUCCGGAGCAUGAGUUCUUCUGAGAUGGAAAAAAUCCUCUCACAGACCCAUGUUAUCAUUGGUUCUCUGUUUUGAAUAAAUUUCUUUUUUUUAAUGUA